rnacentral:rRNA from 1 species
UACGUAGGGUGCAAGCGUUGUCCGGAAUUAUUGGGCGUAAAGAGCUCGUAGGCGGUCUGUUGCGUCGGCUGUGAAAACCCGGGGCUCAACCCCGGGCCUGCAGCCGAUACGGGCAGACUAGAGUUCGGCAGGGGAGACUGGAAUUCCUGGUGUAGCGGUGAAAAUGCGCAGAUAUCAGGAAGAACACCCGUGGCGAAGGCGGUUCUCUGGGACGGUACUGACGCUGAGACGCGAAAGCGUGGGGAGCAAACAGG